AUUAUUUUGGCAGAUUAGUGCGAUUGAUUUAGAAUCAUUAAAUGUAUAUUUAUACAAAUAAUA
rnacentral:tRNA from 1 species